UACGUAGGGGGCAAGCGUUGUCCGGAUUUAUUGGGUUUAAAGGGUGCGUAGGUGGUCUAUUAAGUCAGUGCUGAAAUAUCCCGGCUUAACCGGGAGGGUGGCAUUGAUACUGAUGGACUUGAGUAAAGUUGAGGUUGGCGGAAUUGACGGUGUAGCGGUGAAAUGCUUAGAUAUCGUCAAGAACACCUAUUGCGAAGGCAGCUAACUAAGCUUUAACUGACACUGAGGCACGAAAGUGUGGGGAUCAAACAGG
rnacentral:rRNA from 1 species